GGCUUCUCUGAGUUUUGGAAACUCUGAUAGUGGCCUCUGCAAGUGCUUGAUUGUGGCAUACAAUGCUAGAAAGAUACUAAAGCUCUAUUGGAUAGAAUUACAAUGCUUUAAAUAUCAAGUCAUC